CACGCCGUAAACGAUGAAUACUAGGUGUAGGAGGUAUCGACCCCUUCUGUGCCGGAGCUAACACAAUAAGUAUUCCGCCUGGGAAGUACGAUCGCAAGAUUAAAACUCAAAGGAAUUGACGGGGGCCCGCACAAGCGGUGGAGUAUGUGGUUUAAUUCGACGCAACGCGAAGAACCUUACCAGGUCUUGACAUUGACUGCAAUCCCGAGAAAUCGGGAGUUCCCUUCGGGGACAGGAAAACAGGUGG
rnacentral:rRNA from 1 species